AUUAAGAGAGACGCUGUGGAACCGUAACAAUCCACAAAGGGGCGUACCAACAAACGUUUUAGGGCCUAAAAUUAGUACUGAACUUGUGAAGUGCUCGUGAACUGCGACGAUUUGUCGCCCCGUUUGUUUUUGUAGUGUAGUCGCACGAUUCAUCAAUCGGGACGAGCUACUCACCCCCAAAAAAGUCCCCUAUCGCCCGGGGUCCUGCUCCCGGAACUACGAUAACGCAACAACCGCGACCAGCUGUGGUUGUUUGUCCUGCCAACGACGGUGAAUCGAAGUAACCCCAUACUCAGACGCGGAACGGACGCAUUGCGAUCUGACCCCGACCUUUAGACCCCCGCGCCGGGGCGAACGUGAUCGUAAAUGCCGGUGACGAAACGCCGCCGGUCGACCUCGAGCGCUGUUAUCAGUGUGCGCCGGAGUGAGAACUCUCGUGUCCGCGGCCAUAUACGGCGAAUGAUCAAUGGUGUAUAGUCUCCAGAGAUCGCCUCUCGUGCGUGAACUGGAUCGCUCAGUUAGUCGCGACGCGGCACCCUGAACACACCGAGGAAUCGCGAGAUCGGAUGCUGCUGGAUGAUGCUCUUUCCCGGCCGGGCGGCAUGUGCUAUGUAAUUAGCGUGCAAAGGUGUACGUGUGUGCCCGUGGUGCCCCAAUAACGUGCGUGUGGGUCGCAACUGUAGUACUUAGCGCUUGGCGGUUCAGUUUGCAACUUGGCGACUUAUUUUGUGGAAAAGUGGAACUACUGAGCAGCGGGUGGUUAGGCUCAGGUUAUGGACGAGUUGUAGUACGUUUCUCAAUCAGUGUCCGGAGUUGAAGAAAGGCCAUUACGAUGAUCGGAAUCAAGUAUCUCAACGAAGCCCACUUGAAAGGGUUCGAAAAGUACAAGUACAAUUGCGUCGACACCAGCGUAUUGAGCGUGUACGUGAUGCACCCUUUUUGGAACAAGGUAGUCUUGCUGUGUCCCCGGUGGGUUGCGCCCAACCUUCUCACCUUCACCGGUUUCAUGCUGACGGUGGUAAACUUCUUCCUGAUCGGUUACUACGACCGAGACUUCACGGCAGCGACACAAACACCGCACGGCGUUCCCAACUGGGUGUGGCUGCUGGCUGCCAUUAGUCUGUUUGUAGCGUACACUCUCGAUGGAAUCGAUGGCAAACAAGCACGAAGAACCGGCACCAGCGGACCACUUGGUGAGCUGUUCGAUCAUGGAUUGGACUCGUACUCUGCGGUGCUCAUACCGAUCUAUGUAUUCAGCAUAUUCGGAUCGCACGAUCUGCCGCCGGUGCGAAUGUUCUUCAUCACGCUGAAUGUCUUCCUUAACUUCUACCUCCCGCACGUGGAAAAGUACAUCACGGGUGUUAUGUUUCUGCCGUGGGGGUAUGAUUUUCUUAUGUGGGGCGUCUCGAUCACGCUGGCAAUCACCGGUAUCUUCGGAGCAGAGUUUUGGCAGAUUCCGGUCUUCGGCAUGAAGCCUUGCCACAUCUUUGAGCUGACACUAUACGUGUCCGCAAUCAUAACUAGUCAUCCUAUUAUAAUAACUAAUAUUUACAAGUCGUAUCGCGACAAAACGGGCAAAAUGCGAUCAUUUAAAGAAGCUAUCCGCCCGCUGGUGCCGCUUGCCAGCCUGUUCGUACUGUGUACGCUAUGGGUGCUGCUCUCCCGGAACGGCAUCAUAGAUUUGGAGCCGCGGCUCUACUUUGUGAUGUGUGGCACGUUAUUUUCGAACAUUUGCUGCCGGUUGAUCGUGUCCCAAAUGUCAGAUACUCGGGCUGAUCUUUGGAAUGCACUUCUGAAUCUGCUGUGUGUGACCGUGACGUUCGGGAUUCUGCCGUACACGGCCCUCGGCUUGCCAGAGCUGGAUGUCGAGUUCGAGCGAUACCUACUCUACGCGCUAACGUUCUUCGUUACGAUCGCGCACCUACACUACGGAGCCGGAGUGGUGCGAGAAAUGUGCCAUCACUUUCGGAUCCGCUGUUUUAAAGUAAGGCCAAAGGAUUCCGGCAGGACUCCUACUAACCACCUAGAAGUUAACCAAAAUGGUAGCCACCCUAACCAACUUCAUAUUCAUAACAGUAGAAGAAAAACAAAGUAGUGUGUGUGUAUGUGUGUGCGUGGAACAACAAAUUCCACAGCUAGAACACCUAAUACAGCUAAAACCAACCCCAACUACAGCUUUUUGUUCCGGUUUCAACCUGGUAGUCCUGCCAUUGCAACGAACGAAGGACCCUAACCUUUUCCUCGCCGUAUCCAACAUCUUGCUCCGUAUGUGCAAUAAAGCCGUAAAACGUUGUGUGUAUGUGUGUGUAUCUAUUACAAGCAGAUUUCCAGUAUCGCAGUAAUACACUCCGCCGCAGGUGUUUUAAUAUUAGAACGAUCACUCCGGCGCCACUGUCGCAGUCGGCAACGCCUGUCGACGGUAUGGAGGACAUCGCACUAUGAGAGGGUGGUCAUCAACAGUGGUUCAGAAUCGAGUUUAGUGGAAAACUAGUAAUGUAACGGUCGAAAACGAACUAUUUUCUUUGUACAUAAAUAAAUAGAGCCAUAUUAGAUACUUUCUGAAACCAGCGGAAAAAUAAACAA